UUAAGCGACUAAGCGUACACGGUGGAUGCCCUGGCAGUCAGAGGCGAUGAAGGACGUGCUAAUCUGCGAAAAGCGUCGGUAAGGUGAUAUGAACCGUUAUAACCGGCGAUGUCCGAAUGGGGAAACCCAGUGCAAUUCGUUGCACUAUCGUUAACUGAAUACAUAGGUUAACGAGGCGAACCGGGGGAACUGAAACAUCUAAGUACCCCGAGGAAAAGAAAUCAACCGAGAUUCCCCCAGUAGCGGCGAGCGAACGGGGAGCAGCCCAGAGUCUGAAUCAGCUUGUGUGUUAGUGGAACGGUCUGGAAAGUCCGACGGUACAGGGUGAUAGUCCCGUACACCAAAAUGCACAGGUUGUGAACUCGAAGAGUAGGGCGGGACACGUGGUAUCCUGUCUGAAUAUGGGGGGACCAUCCUCCAAGGCUAAAUACUCCUGACUGACCGAUAGUGAACCAGUACCGUGAGGGAAAGGCGAAAAGAACCCCGGCGAGGGGAGUGAAAAAGAACCUGAAACCGUGUACGUACAAGCAGUGGGAGCACCUUCGGGUGUGACUGCGUACCUUUUGUAUAAUGGGUCAGCGACUUAUAUUCUGUAGCAAGGUUAACCGUAUAGGGGAGCCGCAGGGAAACCGAGUCUUAACUGGGCGUUAAGUUGCAGGGUAUAGACCCGAAACCCGGUGAUCUAGCCAUGGGCAGGUUGAAGGUUGGGUAACACUAACUGGAGGACCGAACCGACUAAUGUUGAAAAAUUAGCGGAUGACUUGUGGCUGGGGGUGAAAGGCCAAUCAAACCGGGAGAUAGCUGGUUCUCCCCGAAAGCUAUUUAGGUAGCGCCUCGUGAAUUCAUCUUCGGGGGUAGAGCACUGUUUCGGCUAGGGGGUCAUCCCGACUUACCAACCCGAUGCAAACUACGAAUACCGAAGAAUGUUAUCACGGGAGACACACGGCGGGUGCUAACGUCCGUCGUGAAGAGGGAAACAACCCAGACCGCCAGCUAAGGUCCCAAAGUCAUGGUUAAGUGGGAAACGAUGUGGGAAGGCACAGACAGCCAGGAUGUUGGCUUAGAAGCAGCCAUCAUUUAAAGAAAGCGUAAUAGCUCACUGGUCGAGUCGGCCUGCGCGGAAGAUGUAACGGGGCUAAACCAUGCACCGAAGCUGCGGCAGCGACACUAUGUGUUGUUGGGUAGGGGAGCGUUCUGUAAGCCUGCGAAGGUGACCUGUGAGGGUUGCUGGAGGUAUCAGAAGUGCGAAUGCUGACAUAAGUAACGAUAAAGCGGGUGAAAAGCCCGCUCGCCGGAAGACCAAGGGUUCCUGUCCAACGUUAAUCGGGGCAGGGUGAGUCGACCCCUAAGGCGAGGCCGAAAGGCGUAGUCGAUGGGAAACAGGUUAAUAUUCCUGUACUUGGUGUUACUGCGAAGGGGGGACGGAGAAGGCUAUGUUAGCCGGGCGACGGUUGUCCCGGUUUAAGCAUGUAGGCUGGUURUCCAGGCAAAUCCGGAUAAUCAAGGCUGAGGUGUGAUGACGAGGCACUACGGUGCUGAAGUAACAAAUGCCCUGCUUCCAGGAAAAGCCUCUAAGCAUCAGGUAACAUCAAAUCGUACCCCAAACCGACACAGGUGGUCAGGUAGAGAAUACCAAGGCGCUUGAGAGAACUCGGGUGAAGGAACUAGGCAAAAUGGUGCCGUAACUUCGGGAGAAGGCACGCUGGUGUGUAGGUGAAGYCCCUGCGGRUGGAGCUGAGACCAGUCGAAGAUACCAGCUGGCUGCAACUGUUUAUUAAAAACACAGCACUGUGCAAACACGAAAGUGGACGUAUACGGUGUGACGCCUGCCCGGUGCCGGAAGGUUAAUUGAUGGGGUUAUCCGUAAGGAGAAGCUCUUGAUCGAAGCCCCGGUAAACGGCGGCCGUAACUAUAACGGUCCUAAGGUAGCGAAAUUCCUUGUCGGGUAAGUUCCGACCUGCACGAAUGGCGUAAUGAUGGCCAGGCUGUCUCCACCCGAGACUCAGUGAAAUUGAACUCGCUGUGAAGAUGCAGUGUACCCGCGGCAAGACGGAAAGACCCCGUGAACCUUUACUAUAGCUUGACACUGAACAUUGAGCCUUGAUGUGUAGGAUAGGUGGGAGGCUUUGAAGCGUGGACGCCAGUCUGCGUGGAGCCAACCUUGAAAUACCACCCUUUAAUGUUUGAUGUUCUAACGUUGGCCCCUUAYCGGGGUUGCGGACAGUGUCUGGUGGGUAGUUUGACUGGGGCGGUCUCCUCCCAAAGCGUAACGGAGGAGCACGAAGGUUAGCUAAUCCUGGUCGGACAUCAGGAGGUUAGUGCAAUGGCAUAAGCUAGCUUGACUGCGAGCGUGACGGCGCGAGCAGGUGCGAAAGCAGGUCAUAGUGAUCCGGUGGUUCUGAAUGGAAGGGCCAUCGCUCAACGGAUAAAAGGUACUCCGGGGAUAACAGGCUGAUACCGCCCAAGAGUUCAUAUCGACGGCGGUGUUUGGCACCUCGAUGUCGGCUCAUCACAUCCUGGGGCUGAAGUAGGUCCCAAGGGUAUGGCUGUUCGCCAUUUAAAGUGGUACGCGAGCUGGGUUUAGAACGUCGUGAGACAGUUCGGUCCCUAUCUGCCGUGGGCGCUGGAGAAUUGAGGGGGGCUGCUCCUAGUACGAGAGGACCGGAGUGGACGCAUCACUGGUGUUCGGGUUGUCAUGCCAAUGGCACUGCCCGGUAGCUAAAUGCGGAAGAGAUAAGUGCUGAAAGCAUCUAAGCACGAAACUUGCCCCGAGAUGAGUUCUCCCUGAGACUUUAAGUCUCCUGAAGGAACGUUAAAGACGAUGACGUUGAUAGGCCGGGUGUGUAAGCGCAGCGAUGCGUUGAGCUAACCGGUACUAAUGAACCGUGAGGCUUAACCU
rnacentral:rRNA from 1 species